rnacentral:rRNA from 1 species
AGUGAACGCUGGCGGUAGGCCUAACACAUGCAAGUCGAACGGCAGCACAGGAGAGCUUGCUCUCUGGGUGGCGAGUGGCGGACGGGUGAGGAAUACAUCGGAAUCUACUCUGUCGUGGGGGAUAACGUAGGGAAACUUACGCUAAUACCGCAUACGACCUACGGGUGAAAGCAGGGGACCUUCGGGCCUUGCGCGAUUGAAUGAGCCGAUGUCGGAUUAGCUAGUUGGCGGGGUAAAGGCCCACCAAGGCGACGAUCCGUAGCUGGGCUGUGAGGUUGAACAGCCACCCUGGAACUGAGACACGGUCCAGAGUCCUACGGGAGGCAGCAGUGAGGAAUAUUGGAAAAUGGGCGUAAGCCUGAUCCAGCCAUACCGCGUGGGUGAAGGAGGCCUUCGGGUUGUAAAGCCCUUUUGUUGGGAAAGAAAUCCAGCUGGCUAAUACCCGGUUGGGAUGACGGUACCCAAAGAAUAAGCACCGGCUAACUUCGUGCCAGCCGCCGCCGUAA